GACGAACGCUGGCGGCGUGCUUAACACAUGCAAGUCGAACGGAAAGGCCCUGCUUUUGUGGGGUGCUCGAUUGGCGAACACGUGAGUAUCACGUGAGUAUCCUGCCCUUGACUUUCGGAUAACUUCAGGAAACUGGGGCUAAUACCGGAUAGGAGCUCCUGCUGCAUGGUGGGGGUUGGAAAGUUUCGGCGGUUGGGGCUGGACUCGCGGCUUAUCCGCUUGUUGGUGGGGUAGUGGCUUACCAAGGCUUUGACGGGUAGCCGGCCUGAGAGCGUGACCGGGCACAAUGGGACUGAGAUACGGCGCAGACGGCAACGGUAGGCAGUAGGGGGGAAUAUUGCAGAGUAGGCGCGAGCCUGAUGCAGCAACGCCGGGUGCGGGAUGACGUGCUUCGGGGUGUAAACCGCUUUCGCCGGUGACGAAGCGGGAGUGACGGUAACGGGUAAGGAAGCACCGGCUAACUACGUG
rnacentral:rRNA from 1 species